CAAGGUGAAUGCCGGCGUGCCUAAUACAUGCAAAGUCGAGCGAAUGGAUUAAGAGCUUGCUCUUAUGAAGUUAGCGGCGGACGGGUGAGUAACACGUGGGUAACCUGCCCAUAAGACUGGGAUAACUCCGGGAAACCGGGGCUAAUACCGGAUAACAUUUUGAACUGCAUGGUUCGAAAUUGAAAGGCGGCUUCGGCUGUCACUUAUGGAUGGACCCGCGUCGCAUUAGCUAGUUGGUGAGGUAACGGCUCACCAAGGCAACGAUGCGUAGCCGACCUGAGAGGGUGAUCGGCCACACUGGGACUGAGACACGGCCCAGACUCCUACGGGAGGCAGCAGUAGGGAAUCUUCCGCAAUGGACGAAAGUCUGACGGAGCAACGCCGCGUGAGUGAUGAAGGCUUUCGGGUCGUAAAACUCUGUUGUUAGGGAAGAACAAGUGCUUCUUGAAUAAGCUGGUCCCUUUACUGCACUGGACCUAAAAGCCAGUCCCUACCUGGUUACGUUCAGCCUCUAUCAUAUAAAGGAGGCCAUGCUUCUCCGUUUGUGCUGGGCCCGACGUUUCCGUU
rnacentral:rRNA from 1 species